rnacentral:rRNA from 1 species
ACGCUGGCGGCACGCCUAACACAUGCAAGUCGAACGAAGUAGCAAUACUUAGUGGCGAACGGGUGAGUAUAAUGUGGGUAUCUGCCUUUUGGUUUGGAAUAACACGGGGAAACUUGUGCUAAUACCGGAUAAGCCUUCACAGGGAAAGCUUUAGCGCCAAAAGAUGAGCCCACACUUGAUUAGCUAGUUGGUAAGGUAAUGGCUUACCAAGGCUACGAUCAAUAGCUGAUCUGAGAGGAUGAUCAGCCACAUUGGGACUGAGACACGGCCCAAACUCCUACGGGAGGCAGCAGUGGGGAAUCUUGCACAAUGGGGGAAACCCUGAUGCAGCGAUGCCGCGUGAGUGAAGAAGGCCCUUGGGUUGUAAAGCUCUUUCGUCGGGGAAGAAAAUGACUGUACCCGAAUAAGAAGGUCCGGCUAACUUCGUGCCAGCAGCCGCGGUAAUACGAAGGGACCUAGCGUAGUUCGGAAUUACUGGGCUUAAAGAGCUCGUAGGUGGUUGGAAAAGUUGGUGGUGAAAUCCCAAGGCUUAACCUUGGAACUGCAACCAAAACUUUUUGACUAGAGUAUGAUAGAGGAAAGUGGAAUUUCUAGUGUAGAGGUGAAAUUCGUAGAUAUUAGAAAGAAUACCAAUUGCGAAGGCAGCUUUCUGGAUCAAUACUGACACUGAGGAACGAAAGCAUGGGUAGCGAAGAGGAUUAGAUACCCUCGUAGUCCAUGCCGUAAACGAUGUGUGUUAGAUGUUGGAAAUUUAUUUUCAGUAUCGCAGCGAAAGCAAUAAACACACCGCCUGGGGAGUACGACCGCAAGGUUAAAACUCAAAUGAAUUGACGGGGACCCGCACAAGUAGUGGAGCAUGUGGUUUAAUUCGAAGAUACGCGCAGAACCUUACCAACACUUGACAUGUUCGUUGUGACUCUAAGAGAUUAGAGUCUUCGGUUCGGCCGGACGAAACACAGGUGCUGCAUGGCUGUCGUCAGCUCGUGUCGUGAGAUGUUGGGUUAAGUCCCGCAACGAGCGCAACCCUCACUUUUAGUUGCCACCAUUUAGUUGGGCACUCUGAAAGAACUGCCAGUGAUAAGCUGGAGGAAGGUGGGGAUGACGUCAAGUCCUCAUGGCCCUUAUGUGUUGGGCUACACACGUGCUACAAUGGCAUUUACAAUAGGAAGCAAAAUGGCGACAUUGAGCAAAUCCUAAAAAAAUGCCUCAGUUCGGAUUGUACUCUGCAACUCGAGUACAUGAAGCUGGAAUUACUAGUAAUCGCGGAUCAGCGCGCCGCGGUGAAUACGUUCCCGGGUCUUGUACACACCGCCCGUCACACCAUGGGAGUUGGUUCUACCUUAAGGCAAAGCUUAAAAUCUUUGACCACGGUAUAGUCAGCGACUGGGGUG